GGAAGUAAAAGUCGUAACAAGGUUUCCGUAGGUGAACCUGCGGAAGGAUCAUUAUUGAAUUUUCUGAGGGAGGGAGGGGAAAAGAUUGGGCAAGGGCCCCCCAGACUGUCGCUGGCCCUCUCGGGCAUGUUGCACGUCUUCCUUGUCGUCGGUUGACCUCUCUCUCACUCUCUCAUAACACACCUGUGCACCUCUUGUAGAUCCUCGAAAGAGGACCUAUGUCUUUCACAUCCACAUCCAUUGUAUGUCCAUAGAAUGUAUUAAAGGACGUCGGACCUGUCUUAGCAGGCUGGCGCUCGCAUAUAUAUGUAAAUCAUACAACUUUCAGCAACGGAUCUCUUGGCUCUCGCAUCGAUGAAGAACGCAGCGAAUUGCGAUAAGUAAUGUGAAUUGCAGAUUUUCAGUGAAUCAUCGAAUCUUUGAACGCACCUUGCGCUCCUUGGUAUUCCAAGGAGCAUGCCUGUUUGAGUGUCAUCGAAUUCUCAACCAUGUCUUGAUCAUUUUUGAGCCAUGGCUUGGACUUGGGGGUUUGCUGGCAGCGAAAUGCUGUCGGCUCUCCUGAAAUACAUUAGCAAGUGGGCGCCGCAAGUCUGACGUGGCAUGGCCUUCGACGUGACAAUGAUCGUCGUGGGCUUGGAGCGUCGCACAUGCAUCUGUCGUCCUUGCUUCCAAUCUGACCUACAUAAGUCUUUUGACCUCAAAUCAGGUAGGACUAC
rnacentral:rRNA from 1 species